rnacentral:rRNA from 1 species
UACGUAGGGGGCAAGCGUUGUCCGGAUUUAUUGGGCGUAAAGAGCGUGUAGGCGGCUAGGUAGGUCCGUUGUGAAAACUCGAGGCUCAACCUCGAGAUGUCGGCGGAAACCAUCUGGCUAGAGUCCGGAAGAGGAGAGUGGAAUUCCUGGUGUAGCGGUGAAAUGCGCAGAUAUCAGGAAGAACACCUAUGGCGAAGGCAGCUCUCUGGGACGGUACUGACGCUGAGACGCGAAAGCGUGGGGAGCGAACAGG